AAGCGCGGAGGUGUGGAAAAUGAAAUCAGCGGCGAUGGCGUUCUGGAAAGACUAUUUUGUGGCAACGCACACAGCAAACCGCUCAUGGCUGGCCCGCCUGAGUGUUCAGCAGCGUUUGCAGACUCUGGAUUAUCUUAUGCAGUGGGAGCUGAAUGGCACUGAGGCUGCCGUUUCCCCGGCCGUGAAGGACAACGGGGAGCCCGCGGGAAGUUUGUGUUACUGAGUAUUGGUGAAUAUCACCCGCCAGCAGUAAGUUACUGCUGGCUUUUUUU
rnacentral:sRNA from 1 species